rnacentral:rRNA from 1 species
AUGAACGCUGGCGGCGUGCCUAAUACAUGCAAGUCGAGCGAACAGACGAGGAGCUUGCUCCUCUGACGUUAGCGGCGGCCGGGUGAGUAACCCGUGGAUAACCUACCUAUAAGACUGGGAUAACUUCGGGAAACCGGAGCUAAUACCGGAUAAUAUAUUGAACCGCAUGGUUCAAUAGUGAAAGACGGUUUUGCUGUCACUUAUAGAUGGAUCCGCGCCGCAUUAGCUAGUUGGUAAGGUAACGGCUUACCAAGGCAACGAUGCGUAGCCGACCUGAGAGGGUGAUCGGCCACACUGGAACUGAGACACGGUCCAGACUCCUACGGGAGGCAGCAGUAGGGAAUCUUCCGCAAUGGGCGAAAGCCUGACGGAGCAACGCCGCGUGAGUGAUGAAGGUCUUCGGAUCGUAAAACUCUGUUAUUAGGGAAGAACAAAUGUGUAAGUAACUAUGCACGUCUUGACGGUACCUAAUCAGAAAGCCACGGCUAACUACGUG